rnacentral:rRNA from 1 species
GACGGUGGGGGGGCGUGCCUAUACAUGCAAGUAGAACGCUGAAGAGAGGAGCUUGCUCUUCUUGGAUGAGUUGCGAACGGGUGAGUAACGCGUAGGUAACCUGCCUUGUAGCGGGGGAUAACUAUUGGAAACGAUAGCUAAUACCGCAUAACAAUGGAUGACACAUGUCAUUUAUUUGAAAGGGGCAAUUGCUCCACUACAAGAUGGACCUGCGUUGUAUUAGCUAGUAGGUGAGGUAACGGCUCACCUAGGCGACGAUACAUAGCCGACCUGAGAGGGUGAUCGGCCACACUGGGACUGAGACACGGCCCAGACUCCUACGGGAGGCAGCAGUAGGGAAUCUUCGGCAAUGGGGGCAACCCUGACCGAGCAACGCCGCGUGAGUGAAGAAGGUUUUCGGAUCGUAAAGCUCUGUUGUAAGUCAAGAACGAGUGUGAGAGUGGAAAGUUCACACUGUGACGGUAGCUUACCAGAAAGGGACGGCUAACUACGUGCCAGCAGCCGCGGUAAUACGUAGGUCCCGAGCGUUGUCCGGAUUUAUUGGGCGUAAAGCGAGCGCAGGCGGUUUGAUAAGUCUGAAGUUAAAGGCUGUGGCUCAACCAUAGUUCGCUUUGGAAACUGUCAAACUUGAGUGCAGAAGGGGAGAGUGGAAUUCCAUGUGUAGCGGUGAAAUGCGUAGAUAUAUGGAGGAACACCGGUGGCGAAAGCGGCUCUCUGGUCUGUAACUGACGCUGAGGCUCGAAAGCGUGGGGAGCGAACAGGAUUAGAUACCCUGGUAGUCCACGCCGUAAACGAUGAGUGCUAGGUGUUGGAUCCUUUCCGGGAUUCAGUGCCGCAGCUAACGCAUUAAGCACUCCGCCUGGGGAGUACGACCGCAAGGUUGAAACUCAAAGGAAUUGACGGGGGCCCGCACAAGCGGUGGAGCAUGUGGUUUAAUUCGAAGCAACGCGAAGAACCUUACCAGGUCUUGACAUCCCGAUGCUAUUUCUAGAGAUAGAAAGUUACUUCGGUACAUCGGUGACAGGUGGUGCAUGGUUGUCGUCAGCUCGUGUCGUGAGAUGUUGGGUUAAGUCCCGCAACGAGCGCAACCCCUAUUGUUAGUUGCCAUCAUUCAGUUGGGCACUCUAGCGAGACUGCCGGUAAUAAACCGGAGGAAGGUGGGGAUGACGUCAAAUCAUCAUGCCCCUUAUGACCUGGGCUACACACGUGCUACAAUGGUUGGUACAACGAGUUGCGAGUCGGUGACGGCAAGCUAAUCUCUUAAAGCCAAUCUCAGUUCGGAUUGUAGGCUGCAACUCGCCUACAUGAAGUCGGAAUCGCUAGUAAUCGCGGAUCAGCACGCCGCGGUGAAUACGUUCCCGGGCCUUGUACACACCGCCCGUCACACCACGAGAGUUUGUAACACCCGAAGUCGGUGAGGUAACCUUUUGGAGCCAGCCGCUAAGGUGGAAUGAUGGU